rnacentral:rRNA from 1 species
GACGUAGGUGGCGAACGUUAUCCGGAAUCAUUGGGCGUAAAGGGUGCGUAGAUGGCAUGAUAAGUUAGUAGUGGGAAAUCGAGGCUCAACCUCGUGGAAGCUAGUAAUACUGUUUUGCUUGAGUACAGAAGAGGUUAACGGAACUCCAUGUGGAGCGGUAAAAUGCGUAGAUAUAUGGAAGAACACCAAUAACGGCGAAGGCAGUUAACUAUUCUGUUACUGACAUUGAGGCACGAAAGCGUGGGGAGCAAAACGG